rnacentral:rRNA from 1 species
UACGUAGGGGGCUAGCGUUGCUCGGAAUCACUGGGCGUAAAGCGCACGUAGGCGAAUCUUUAAGUCAGGGGUGAAAUCCUGGAGCUCAACUCCAGAACUGCCUUUGAUACUGAGGAUCUUGAGUUCGGGAGAGGUGAGUGGAACUGCGAGUGUAGAGGUGAAAUUCGUAGAUAUUCGCAAGAACACCAGUGGCGAAGGCGGCUCACUGGCCCGAUACUGACGCUGAGGCACGAAAGCGUGGGGAGCAACAGG